CCAUACCAACGUGUUCCUUACCUCUGGGCGGCUGGACAGCAAUUGCUGCAAUCGUAGGGUGAUGGCUCUGCUGCACUGCCUUGCCCCAAAAUCUGGGGCAGGUCCUCUUUAUGUGACUCAAAUCUCCAAACUUGUAACAACCUCGUGGUACCAUAGACAGUUGUCCUGAAGCCUAACCGUGAUGGCCCGCAUAUCUACUAGAAGAACCCUGAUGUUUAGAAUACCCGCUGGAGGAACCUUGAAUUGUUGGUGGGCAGUAAGAAUUCUCCGGUAUCGCACUGAAAUAAGGCCUCACUGGAGCACCUCAAGG
rnacentral:lncRNA from 1 species